AACGAAGCACUUGUUUUCUUAUUGAUUUCAGGGGCGGUGGCGUUCUUGAAUGAAGUCUAUCCGACGAACCGAAUUAGAAGGUGAUAACUCUCAAUCGAAGGCGUACAAUCAUGCUUUGUUUCCUUCCCUUCACUUUGCUUGUUUCAUACAUGACUCUUCUUUCUUUAAAGAAUGGAACCCUCUUUAAUCAAUUGACUAGCCGAGAUAGAUGAGUUUCAUAAAAGAUGAUUCUUUCGUAUAAAAGGUAUCCUACCGAUCACUCUUGAGAGCUUCUCAUUACUUAUAAAAACUUUUUACUCAAAAUUUGGCCUCAAUCAAAAUAGGUCAGGGGCACGUCGGAACGGUCGGUGGCUGCUUAGUCUCAUCCUAUACUCUAAUCUCUUUGUACUGCUUUUUUUCAAAGAAGAAUCAUAAUCGUUGUUUUAAUAAUCUAUAAUUAUAUUUAUUUUAGGGCCCUAUUUUUUUAUUUUUAGGAGGAUUAUAAUGAGGAGGACGAUAGACCCGGGGCCGGAGCAAGUUGGGUU
rnacentral:lncRNA from 1 species